AGCUUUUACACGGGCCCUACUACGAGC
rnacentral:sRNA from 1 species